AUAUCACAGUGUCAUCCUUGUGGCAUGGUCCUUGUGAAAGAGCUCCAUCUCCUGUUUGCCCGGCCUAGCAAUAUGUCACUAUCAAGGGCACACCUGCAGAAACUGGUUGUUUUACCAAGGACUUGAUUGAAAGGGUUUGCUUCCCUUUAAGGAGUCAAGCUCAACUUGCAGAGCCAAUAAAAGCCCCUUGGAAAAACAGGACUCAUACCUCAUCUAUACAGUCAUAGUGCAGGUUUAUCUGUGGAAAGUAAAGAAUGACACUUUCUGACAGCCCCAGGGACUCCAACUUUAUCUUGGGACCAUAAGAGGAGAGAAUCACCCAACUCAUAAGUAUUUAAGGAUAGGUAAUCAGGUCUCAAUACUGUGGGACACUCUUCUUGGUGCAUCCUUUGAAUUUGAAAGAGUUAAUUUCCCAAACCUUAGACUGGUUUGCUUAGGAUUCAACUCAGGAGAAAAGAACCCAGAACCCAGAAAACUGACAUGCUCGAAAAGGGUUUUCAGGUGGUGCAUUGUCCAGAUUGCUUAGAAGCUCAUGAUCACAGAGGUCAUAUUUGACAAGAGAAAGCACUGUUGCACCAGGACUAAGUGAAGGUGAUUACCACCCCAUGCCUAAGGCUUCUCCAGAGCCAGGAUGGAGCUUAAAAACCAUUACUGAAGCCAGAAAGUGAUGACAGAAGUUGA